rnacentral:rRNA from 1 species
UACGUAGGGUGCAAGCGUUGUCCGGAAUUAUUGGGCGUAAAGAGCUCGUAGGCGGUUUGUUGCGUCGGCUGUGAAAUCCCGAGGCUCAACCUCGGGUCUGCAGUCGAUACGAGCAAACUAGAGUGUUGCAGGGGAGACUGGAAUUCCUGGUGUAGCGGUGAAAUGCGUAGAUAUCAGGAAGAACACCCGUGGCGAAGGCGGCUCUCUGGGACGGUACUGACGCUGAGACGCGAAAGCGUGGGGAGCGAACAGG